rnacentral:pre_miRNA from 1 species
GCCUACAUUUGUACAUGGGUGUACAUGUAAUAAUUAUUAUUACAUGUACACCCAUGUACAAAUGUAGGCC